UACGUAGGUGGCAAGCGAUACUCGGAAUCACUAGGCGUAAAGCGCAGGUAGGCGGUUUGAUAAGUCUGUUGUGAAAGCUCCCGGCUUAACUGGGAGAGGUCAACGGAAACUGUCAGGCUAGAGUGUGGUAGAGGUAGCUGGAAUUCCCGGUGUAGCGGUGAAAUGCGUAGAUAGCGGGAGGAAUACCUAUGGCGAAAGCAGGCUACUGGACCAUCACUGACGCUGAUCUGCGAAAGCUAGGGGAGCAAACAGG
rnacentral:rRNA from 1 species